ACUGUAAUUGAUAUUUUUUUUUAAUUUUAUGUUGGACACGUUUUUUCAAUCAGUAUAAUUAAAUAUUUUAGAUUCUGAACGGAGUGAUGAAUGUAUUGAUUUUACAAUGAUGUAUGUUUUUUUUUUUGUGUGUCUGUGUACAGCAUUACUAGUCGAAAUAGUGCUUCAAUUUCAAACUUCGGGGUGGUUUCCGAUGGAAAAGUGAAUAUCCUUGGUGCAUUAUAAAGAGCAUUAUCGUGGUAACUGAUAAAGAAAUGAAAAUACCAUCGAUUUCAAAAACUUAAUGCCUUGGAUGUUUAUUUUCGACGCCAGUUCAAGAGGUUCGUUGAAUUUAAUCGUAGCCGCGCAAUGAAAAACAAAGUUCACGUUCUCUAUCAACCACUCUCGGUCCGAAGACGAUAAAUCCAUGGACGACUCUUCUAAAUGUCC